rnacentral:rRNA from 1 species
AUUGAACGCUGGCGGCAGGCCUAACACAUGCAAGUCGAACGAGUGGCGGACGGGUGAGUAAUGUCUGGGAAACUGCCUGAUGGAGGGGGAUAACUACUGGAAACGAGAGCUAAUACCGCAUACCAUCAGAAGUGCCCAGAUGGGAUUAGCUAGGUGGUGGGGUAACGGCUCACCAAGGCGACGAUCCCUAGCUGUGCUGAGAGGAUGAACGGCCACACUGGAACUGAGACACGGUCCAGACUCCGACGGGAGUCAGCAGUGGGGAAUAUUGCACAAUGGGCGCAAGCCUGAUGCAGCCAUGCCGCGUGUAUGAAGAAGGCCUUCGGGUUGUAAAGUACUUUCAGCGGGGAGGCGUUACCCGCAGAAGAAGCACCGGCUAACUCCGUGCCAGCAGCCGCGGUAAUUC